rnacentral:rRNA from 1 species
GGUUCUCCCCGAAAGCUAUUUAGGUAGCGCCUCGUGAAUUCAUCUCCGGGGGUAGAGCACUGUUUCGGCAAGGGGGUCAUCCCGACUUACCAACCCGAUGCAAACUGCGAAUACCGGAGAAUGUUAUCACGGGAGACACACGGCGGGUGCUAACGUCCGUCGUGAAGAGGGAAACAACCCAGACCGCCAGCUAAGGUCCCAAAGUCAUGGUUAAGUGGGAAACGAUGUGGGAAGGCCCAGACAGCCAGGAUGUUGGCUUAGAAGCAGCCAUCAUUUAAAGAAAGCGUAAUAGCUCACUGGUCGAGUCGGCCUGCGCGGAAGAUGUAACGGGGCUAAACCAUGCACCGAAGCUGCGGCAGCGACGCUUAUGCGUUGUUGGGUAGGGGAGCGUUCUGUAAGCCUGUGAAGGUGUGCUGUGAGGCAUGCUGGAGGUAUCAGAAGUGCGAAUGCUGACAUAAGUAACGAUAAAGCGGGUGAAAAGCCCGCUCGCCGGAAGACCAAGGGUUCCUGUCCAACGUUAAUCGGGGCAGGGUGAGUCGACCCCUAAGGCGAGGCCGAAAGGCGUAGUCGAUGGGAAACAGGUUAAUAUUCCUGUACUUGGUGUUACUGCGAAGGGGGGACGGAGAAGGCUAUGUUGGCCGGGCGACGGUUGUCCCGGUUUAAGCGUGUAGGCUGGUUUUCCAGGCAAAUCCGGAAAAUCAAGGCUGAGGCGUGAUGACGAGGCACUACGGUGCUGAAGCAACAAAUGCCCUGCUUCCAGGAAAAGCCUCUAAGCAUCAGGUAACAUCAAAUCGUACCCCAAACCGACACAGGUGGUCAGGUAGAGAAUACCAAGGCGCUUGAGAGAACUCGGGUGAAGGAACUAGGCAAAAUGGUGCCGUAACUUCGGGAGAAGG